UGGGGAAUUUUGGACAAUGGGCGCAAGCCUGAUCCAGCCAUGCCGCGUGCAGGAUGAAGGCCUUCGGGUUGUAAACUGCUUUUGUACGGAACGAAAAGGUGCCUUCUAAUAAAGGGCGCUCAUGACGGUACCGUAAGAACAAGCACCGGCUAACUACGUGCCAGCAGCCGCGGUAAUACGUAGGGUGCGAGCGUUAAUCGGAAUUACUGGGCGUAAAGCGUGCGCAGGCGGUUUUGUAAGACAGAGGUGAAAUCCCCGGGCUCAACCUGGGAACUGCCUUUGUGACUGCAAGGCUGGAGUGCGGCAGAGGGGGAUGGAAUUCCGCGUGUAGCAGUGAAAUGCGGAGAUAUGCGGAGGAACACCGAUGGCGAAGGCAAUCCCCUGGGCCUGCACUGACGCUCAUGCACGAAAGCGUGGGGAGCAAACA
rnacentral:rRNA from 1 species